UGGGUUAGAACAGAACAGGAGAGGAGAGGAGGAGUACAGGAGAAAGGAAGGAGGAGGAGGAUGGUGGUGCGUCUGUACAGAGGAUGCUCUAUGUGAGCGUUUCUGCCGUGGAUGGAUGCGGUAGUGUCCUUGCGCGUCAGAGAUUGGGUGGAAAAGGGAAAAAAAGAAAAGAAAAGACGCAACAAAAAAAACGGAAAUCAAAAAUAUGAAAGCGAACUGAUGUGAGGCUCCACUCGUCUUUUCAGCCUAAGAUACAUGGUGUUUCCCCGGAAUGCCGUGCUGCUGCUGAUGUCGUCGUCUCUCUCCAAGCAGGACCAGGACGACUGGCUGGAGAGCAGAGAGACAAAAUGAGAAGUUGAGGAGCAUCAAGUCCCUCCUACCGGCUACUGUCAUACUGACACCUGCAGAAACUGCAUGCAAUCAACAGUGAUUACAACUCUACUCAUGUAUACAGUUGGAGGGCGGCUGUACUGCACGAUUUGCUAAAAGUUUCAGAUCACCCAGAGGCGUGGCCGGACGUAUGGAGUCAGAUACCACAAAAAGGAGAAGCAGGACACCGUCAACCAAUGAGAAGACGACAACACCCCGAACACGCGAGGACCAGAAUUGCAGCAGUCCUCAACAAUUUGGUGACCCCGACGUGAUGAAGACGGAGAAGUGAGGCUCGACGAGCGCAGAACGAGUGACUGCAAAACUUCGCGGCGCCGCUAAAACAAGGACCUGGAGCUGGUGGCGUGACAUCAAAAACCACUCCAUUCCUAGCAGCUUUCUCAAAAGAGGUUGCUGAGGCAAAAGGGGGUGAAGAGGGAAGUCCUGCCCCCAAGAACACAGAGUGGGUGCUGCUGAGGGUCAUCAAAAGGAAGUGGUCAGAGCCGAGGUGAACAGGACCCUACAAGGUUGCUGAAAGGACCACCCACACCGUCCGGCUGAAGGGAAAAGGAAACACAUGGUACCACUGGACGAUGUGUGCAGCAGCUGAUCCUCCCAUCAGGACCUUGGCAGAGAUAAGCAAAGAUUUGAAAGAGCAGUCAUAAACUGUUGAGAGAGAAAGGAAAAGAGACAUUUUCUAUUUUUAGCUUUGCACAACACAGGACAGUGUGAGUCAAUUAGAUGAGAAGGCAUUACACAUCUUACGUUGAGAGAGGUUCUGCUCAGCUACAGGGAUAGGAUAGAAGACUCCACUAGAGGGUUGCUAUUUAGCCUACUUAUUUUUUAAUCAUUUUAUUCAUUUUUUACUUAAGUAUUAUUCAUUUUAUUUUACUGCAUGUUAGUCACACACACUGAUCCUCAGUUCAACCACACACCAAUCUGCCAGACAGUUGGUGGGCAAGCAUUAAUUCAGUUGGCUGAAGAGCACCACAGAGCUAGAAUUAGACUCACAGUCAUUGUCUCUACAGUUUUCAUUAUAUCGGUUAUUACUCUUACUGUUACCUUAUACUUAUAUUUGAUUCGCAGUUAAUCAUGUGCAUCCCCGAUAAUAAGUGGGGAUGGUUGGGUGUGUUUUGUCUUUUUGCUCUUAUUGUUGCAGUUCCUCC